GCGGAAGUAGCUCAGUUGGUAGAGCAUCACCUUGCCAAGGUGAGGGUCGCGGGUUCGAGUCUCGUCUUCCGCU
rfam:Bacteroidetes bacterium 46-16 SCNpilot_cont_1000_p_scaffold_426, whole genome shotgun sequence.